ACCAGGUAGUGGGUUAACCAGCAGGUAGAGGGUUCACCAGCAGGUAGAGGGUUCACCAGCAGGUAGAGGGUUAACCAGAAGGUAGAGGGUUCACCAGCAGGUAGUGGGUUAACCAGCAGGUAGAGGGUUCACCAGCAGGUAGAGGGUUCACCAGCAGGUAGAGGGUUAACCAGAAGGUAGAGGGUUAACCAGCAGGUAGAGGGUUAACCAGCAGGUAGAGGGUUAACCAGCAGGUAGUGGGUUCACCAGCAG
ensembl:lncRNA